UACGUAGGGACCAAGCGUUGUUCGGAUUUACUGGGCGUAAAGGGCGCGUAGGCGGCUUGCCAAGUCACUUGUGAAAUCUCUGGGCUUAACCCAGAACGGCCAAGUGAAACUGGCAUGCUAGAGUGCAGAAGGGGCAAUCGGAAUUCUUGGUGUAGCGGUGAAAUGCGUAGAUAUCAAGAGGAACACCAGAGGUGAAGACGGGUUGCUGGGCUGACACUGACGCUGAGGCGCGAAAGCGUGGGGAGCAAACAGG
rnacentral:rRNA from 1 species